rnacentral:rRNA from 1 species
AGCAGCCGCGGUAAUUCCAGCUCCAAUAGCGUAUAUUAAAGUUGUUGCAGUUAAAAAGCUCGUAGUUGAAUUUCGGGAUCAAUACGUCGGUCGUGCCUUCGGUACGUACUGGCGUCAUUGGUUUCUCCCUUCUGACGAACCAUGAUGUCAUUAAUUUGGUGUUAUGGGAAGUUAGGACUGUUACUUUGAAAAAAUUAGAGUGUUUAAAGCAGGCAUUAGCUUGAAUACAUUAGCAUGGAAUAAUGAAAUAGGACGUUCGAACCUAUUUUGUUGGUUUCUAGGAUCGACGUAAUGAUUAAUAGGGAUAGUUGGGGGCAUUAGUAUUCAAUUGUCAGAGGUGAAAUUCUUGGAUUUAUUGAAGACUAACUACUGCGAAAGCAUUUGCCAAGGAUGUUUUCAUUAAUCAAGAACGAAAGUUAGGGGAUCGAAGACGAUCAGAUACCGUCGUAGUCUUAACCAUAAACUAUGCCGACUAGGGAUCGGAUGAUGUUAAUUUUUUAAUGUACUCAUUCGGCGCCUU